rnacentral:rRNA from 1 species
GCGAUGGCGGGCCCAGAUUCCGACAAAUGGCUGGAAGCCAUGAAAUCCGAGAUAGGAUCCAUGUAUGAAAACGAAGUAUGGACUUUGACUGACUUGCCCGUUGAUCGGCAAGCCAUAGAAAAUAAAUGGAUCUUUAAGAAGAAGACAGACGCGGAUGGUAAUGUGACCAUCUAUAAAGCUCGGCUUGUCGCUAAGGGUUAUCGACAAGUUCAAGGGGUUGACUAUGAUGAGACUUUCUCACCCGUAGCGAAGCUGAAGUCCGUCCGAAUCAUGUUAGCAAUUGCCACAUUCUAUGAUUAUGAGAUAUGGCAAAUGGACGUCAAAACGGCAUUCCUUAAUGGUUUCCUUAAUGAAGAAUUGUAUAUGAUGCAGCCAGAAGGUUUUGUCGAUCCUAAGAAUGCUGACAAGGUGUGCAAGCUCCAACACUCGAUUUAUGGGCUGGUGCAAGCAUCUCGGAGUUGGAACAUUCGCUUUGAUGAGAUGAUCAAAGCGUUUGGGUUUAUGCAGACUUAUGGAGAAGCCUGCGUUUACAAGAAAGUGAGUGGGAGCUCUGUAGCAUUUCUCAUAUUAUAUGUA